rnacentral:rRNA from 1 species
UACGAAGGUCCCGAGCGUUGUUCGGAAUCACUGGGCGUAAAGGGAGCGUAGGCGGCGUGGUAAGUCAGAUGUGAAAUCCCGGGGCUCAACCCCGGAACUGCAUCCGAUACUGCCGUGCUUGAGGGUUGGAGAGGUAGCUGGAAUUAUCGGUGUAGCAGUGAAAUGCGCAGAUAUCGGGAAGAACACCCGUAGCGAAGGCGGCACUCUGGGCCGGUACUGACGCUGAGGAGCGAAAGCGUGGGGAGCAAACAGG